AUGUACUGUAAAUAUACCUCCAUCUUGGCCUGAGAAUAACUUGCCCCAACAGGUCACAAGGCAAGGCUUUCAUCUGGAUUUACACAACUGAUCUCAUCCUCAUUUCAGGUAGCAGCAAUAUUCUUAAAUGCUUCAACCCUAACAACAAAAACAUACUUAAAAUCAACUCAUAAAAAUGCAACAAAACACAUAAGAGAGAAAAAAAAAAAAA